UACGUAGGGGGCAAGCGUUGUCCGGAAUCACUGGGCGUAAAGCGCGCGCAGGCGGUCAUCUACGUCUGGGGUGAAAGCCCGGAGCUCAACUCCGGGACUGCCUUGGAUACGGGAUGACUUGAGGAUCGGAGAGGCAAGGGGAAUUCCACGUGUAGCGGUGAAAUGCGUAGAGAUGUGGAGGGACACCUGUGGCGAAGGCGCCUUGCUGGCCGAUUUCUGACGCUGAGGCGCGAAAGCGUGGGGAGCAAACAGG
rnacentral:rRNA from 1 species